AUCAGAUUAGAUGUUUCUCAGGGGACUUUCCAGCCCUGGCUGCUCCUGGAGGGAGUGAGCUCCCUAUCAACCAAAAUAUUCAAGUGGAGAGCAGGCAACCACUGGUGGGAUUCUAGCCUUUGAUGGACAUGUGAACUACGUAACCUUGAAGGUCCUUUCCAGACCUGAGUUGUCCUGAUUCUGGGAUUCUGGAGCCCAGAUGGGGCCUGUGAACUGUGCCAGGCAGCCAAGGAUGGUUAUGCAGGACAUCUGUUCCCUCCCCUGCAUCCCAGCACCAUUUCUCUACCUGAUUUCAUUACCACUCGGGCCUGAAGUCACGUGCUGGUGAAGGAUCCCACAGGUGAAAUCGCAGAGGCUGUGCUGGAGAAACCCUGUGAGAGCUGCACGACGGCACUGCAAGAUUUUUGGACUACGAGGCUGCUCCUUGGAUUCACUCACCCGGAGAGACGAGGAGGCUCUGGGACUCCAGGGAGGCUGGCAGUGUGGCCCAGAGCAAUGUUGAGGCUUUGGCUGCAGGGAGCUGCUUCCUUACUGGUCUCCUGCUUCCUCUGUUGCUGCCCUCUGGGCUAUUCUUGACAUUAGAGCCAGCAAAGGCAACACGCUGCUGCUUGGCUCAAAACUUGCCAGAUGUCUCCCAUUUCAUGCCUAGUAAAGCUGCAUGCCUACAACGGCCUGCCAUCUCUGUGAGAUUUGACCUCACCUCCUUUUCCAUCUCCUGCCCUGUCAGCUCUGGCCAGACUCUCUUCCCUGUUGUUGCUGAACACACCGGGCCCACUCCUGCCUCAGGGCCUUUGCGUUUGCUGUUCCCUCUGCCUGGAAUGUUUUCCCCAACACGGCUCCCCCAACCAAUAUCCACAAGGCUCACUAAUUCCCUUUAUUAAAGUCUUUGCUCGGCCGGGAGCGGUAGCUCAUGCCUGUAAUCACUUGAGAUCAGGAGUUUGAGACUAGCCUGGCCAACAUGGUGAAACCCCACCUCCACUGAAAAUACAAAAAUUAGCCAGGCAUGGUGGUGCGUGCCUGUAAUCUUAGCUACUCAGGAGGCUGAGGAUGGAAAAUCAUUUGAACCUGGGAGGCGGAGGUUGCAGCGAGCCAAGAUUGCACCACUGUACUCCAGCCUGAAUGACAGAGAGAGACUCUGUCUCAAAAAAACAAACAAACAAACAAACAAAAAGUCUUAGUCCCAGCACUUUGGGAGGCCGAGGCAGGCGGAUCACAAGGUCAGGAGUUGAAGACCACACUGACAAACAUGUGAAACCCCGUCUCUACUAAAAAUACAAAAAUUAGCUGGGCGUGGUGGCAUGCGCCUGUAAUCCCAGCUACUCAGGAGGCUGAGGCAAGAUAAUUGCUUGAACCCGGGAGGCGGAGGUUGCAGUCAGCCAAGAUCGCACCACUGCACUCCAGCCUGGGCAACAGAGUGAGACUCCGUCUCAAAAAAAAAAAGUCUUUGCUCAAAUAUGAACCCUCUCCUAAGAGCCCUGAUUAAAAUUGUAAUCCCCCGGCCCCAGAAAUCCCUGCUCCCAUUUCCUGCGUUUGUUUUCUACAUAACACUGAUUCCAUCUGAUAGUCUGUAUGUUUCACUUAUAUAUUUGUUUACCCUUAUACUCCUUAUGGCUUAAGUGAAAACUCUGCAGGACAGAGAAUUUGUUUUUUGUCUCUUUUGCUUUCUGCUAUACACUCUGAUGCCUAGAAUACUGGCACACAGUAAGAGUUCAAUAACUGUUUGUCAAAUGAAUGAAUAAAUAAAUGAGGAUUCUUAAGAUCAUACAG
rnacentral:lncRNA from 1 species